UAGGGAAUCUUCCACAAUGGACGCAAGUCUGAUGGAGCAACGCCGCGUGAGUGAAGAAGGCUUUCGGGUCGUAAAACUCUGUUAUUGAAGAAGAACGUGUGUGACAGUAACUGGUCAUGCAGUGACGGUAUUCAAUCAGAAAGUCACGGCUAACUACGUGCCAGCAGCCGCGGUAAUACGUAGGUGGCAAGCGUUGUCCGGAUUUAUUGGGCGUAAAGCGAGUGCAGGCGGUCUUUUAAGUCUGAUGUGAAAGCCUUGCGGCUUAACCGAAGA
rnacentral:rRNA from 1 species